ACGAAGCCACAAUUCGCCUAAGAAAAAGAAAUAAAAAGGAAAAUAAACAAUUCGUAGGGUCUGGCCGAAAACCCACCCUUACUGAAGCAACUGAAUCGGAAUUAGCUGAAGUAAUCCGCGUCCUAUGCUGCCUCGGAUUUAGUCCUACACGAGACCAAGUCAAAAAUCUUGUCAAAGAAUAUGUGGAGGCAAGAAAAAUGAAAACCCCUUUCGCUGAAAACCGCCCUGGGAAGGAAUGGCUAAGAUUGUUUAUGGAACGAAACAUGCUUUCCCUAAAAAAAGGCAACAAUGAUCUGCAGUGCGCGUAAGGCCGUGACAGCAAAUCCUUUCGUUGUGCAUGACUUUUACGACAUGCUUGAAAAAAUCGUUAAAGAAAAAAAAUUUCCACCCAACCAAAUCUGGAACUGUGACGAAUCUGGAUUUCCAACAGAUCCGAAAAGGUGCAAAGUGGUCAGCAAAAGUGGCGAAGUCGCAUAUCGAGUAACACCAGGUGCUGGUCGGGAAAAUACAACAACCUUAGCUGCUGUGAACGCAGCUGGACAAGCAUUACCACCACUUGUUGUUUUCCCAGGAAAAAAUCAUCAGGAGUCUUGGUUCUCACCUGAAAGUAAGUCCCACACAGUAAAUACAAUUCUUAAUUGUCACCCAAUCUUCUGCUCCCCUUUCCCUCCUACACUAUUUUUUAUGUAUCCGCUGUCUAAAACAUUAUUUGGAUCUUGUUAGGUAUGCCAGGUACACUGUAUGGUUGCUCAGAUAAUGGUUGGAUGACCACUGAUGUGUUUGGCGAAGGGUUUAAACACUUUUGCAGAGUAGUAACAGAUCGGCCACUUUUGCUUCUCUUUGACGGCCAUUUGUUGCAUGUCUCUGCCAGUCUUAUCUUAAAAGCCAUGGAGGAAGAUGUGACAAUCAUGAAAUUUCCACCGCAUGUGACAGAUCUUCUACAACCGUUAGAUGUAGCAUGUUUUGGUCCCCUGAAGAGAGAAUGGGAACGUGUCUUAAAUGAAUGGUGUGUUUCUUACGGUGGUAAGCGUCCUCUUCGAAAAGCUGACUUUGUGGAGAAACUUGGACAGUGUUGACAAACCGCACUUACUGAAGAUAACAUAAAAGCAGGAUUUAGACGAACAGGUAUAUUUCCGAUCGACAGAACGAAGUACCCGGAGAAAAGAUUUGACCCACGGUUACUUAAAAGAUAUAAAAAGAUGGUGCGAAAUGGGAAAACCAGAGGACGUUAUGGAAGAACUUGCUCGCGCUUCAAAUACGCCGAAAAAAAUAAAAGAGCCAACGAAUGUAAAUGCGGCGACAACGCCAACGCAAUCAAUCGACACCACACAAUCGCCGCUUCUUGCUAACGCUUCUUCAGCAUCCUUUAUUGACGCUCCUUCAACUGCAAGCACCAAUCAAUCGACGCCAAUACUUCGUAUACAGGAACCAUGCGGGAUAUUUCACUUUUUAAGGUCCACGAUGUAA